GGCCCCUGGUGUAGUGGUUUGAAUGUUGGACUACAGUUCUGAAGACCAGGGUUCAAUUCUCUGCUCGGCCA